AUCGGACGCAACUGGUUUCAGUGUAGUCUGGCAGAAAUCAGGGAUGAAUUUUCAGAUGUAUUAGAAUGCGGGUCAACAUUGCGGGACAUGUUUAUGACUUUUGCAAUAUUCCUGUCGGGCAGUGGCUACCUUACACCGACGCUAACAGCGAUUGACAUGGCUGUGUUCAAGAAUGCUUAACAAAGGCGACUGUCACACAGGAGACAAGACUAGAAAUAUUUCAGUUAUGGUACAGACAUUCACGCAGUUAACAUACUGUGCGAUUUAUGUACUUCAAGUGCUUUGCUUUGAAAUUACACAAAAAUGAACUGUUAUACGUAUUAAAUAAUUAUUUUAA